GACGAACGCUGGCGGCGUGCUUAACACAUGCAAGUCGAACGGACAGGCCCUGCUUUUGUUUGGUUCUCGAGUGGCGAACGGGUGAGUAACACGUGAGUAACCUCCCCUUGACUUUGGGAUAACUUCACGAAACUGGGGCUAAUACCCGAUAUAAUCUCCUGCUGCAUGGUGGGCGUUGGUAAGUUUCGGCGGUUGUGGAUGGACUCGCGGCUUAUCAGCUUGUUGGUCGGGUAGUGGCUUACCAAGCCUUUGACGGGUAGCCGGCCUGAGAGGGUUACCGGCGACAUUGGGACUGAGAGACGGCCCAGACUCGUACGGGAGGCAGCAGGCGGGAAUAUUGCACAAUGAGCGGAAGCGUGAGGCAGCAGCGCUGGGAGCGGGAUGACGGCCUACGGGUUGUAAACAGAUUUCGACGGUGACGAAGAGUGAGUGACGGUAAUGGGUAAAGAAGCACCGGCUAACUACGUG
rnacentral:rRNA from 1 species